rnacentral:miRNA from 1 species
UUCAGUCUUUGGCCUGCCUCUCC